UGUUAUUUUUUUGCGUCACAGCGGAUAUUAUAAAUUUAAAAAUUGCAAAUUCAAGCAAAGGCCCGUCUACAUACAUAUAUGUACAUACAUAUACAUACAUACAUAUGUACAUAUGUACAUGCAUACACCUUUCGCUUCGCGUUGGCGUUCAUACGUUUAUAUGAAGCAACCACCAAUGCAAAGCGUAAAGUUGGGCGUGCAUUUGGCAAACGUCAGAUGUAAACAAACAAAAUUAUUCCAGAAAUGUUUAACUCGAACUGAAUUUAAAUUCAUACAGUUAGUCUCUUAACAAAACAGAAUAUUUACAAAAUUGGCAUCUUAAAGAAAAUUUGGUAAAAAUUCAUACCACAAAAAUAUAUAGAAGAGCCAAAAUGGACAACACCGUUCAGAUCCAAUUUUUCGGGAGGAUUAACUUCAGUGCUAUUUUUUAAAUUAUUUAAAUUAAACAAAAUUUAAUUUUUGAAAGUAAAAGAAGUUAAA